UUGUUACCUACAACUCCCUCA
rnacentral:siRNA from 1 species